ACAGCUUGAUCCAAGUUCAUGGCAAAAUAAGGAACCAUGAGAAGGCCGAUCGUGCUACGAUGGAACAGGCCAUUGACCCAAGGACACGCAUGGUUUUGUUCAAGAUGUUGAAUAGUGGUGUUUUUAAUAAUAUAAAUGGCUGCAUUUCUACAGGAAAAGAGGCAAAUGUCUAUCAUGCAACAAAAAUAGAUGGCCAGGAGCUAGCAAUCAAAUUCUA